rnacentral:rRNA from 1 species
CCUACGGGAGGCAGCAGUGAGGAAUAUUGGUCAAUGGGCGAGAGCCUGAACCAGCCAAGUCGCGUGAGGGAGUACUGCCCUAUGGGUUGUAAACCUCUUUUGUCGGGGAGCAAAAGCCGGACGUGUCCGGCUGUGAGAGUACCCGAAGAAAAAGCAUCGGCUCACUCCGUCCCAGCAGCCGCGGUAAUACGGAGGAUGCGAGCGUUAUCCGGAUUUAUUGGGUUUAAAGGGGGCGCAGGCGGAUUUUUAAGUCAGCGGUAAAAUCGUGGGGCUCAACCCCAUCCAGCCGUUGAAACUGGGGAUCUAGAGUGUGCGAGAGGUAUGCGGAAUGCGUGGUGUAGCGGUGAAAUGCAUAGAUAUCACGCAGAACCCCGAUUGCGAAGGCAGCAUACCGGUGCACAACUGACGCUCAGGCACGAAAGCGUGGGUAUCGAACAGGAUUAGAUACCCUGGUAGUC